CCAACUCUUCCUCAGACUUUCCGGCCUGGUCCUCCUUUAAGAGCCUCACCAUCAUGACCAAGAACUCCUCGAAGUCGAUGGUGCCGCUGCCUAAGGUGAAGUUUCCGAUCGAUUAUGCAUCAAGCUCGAAAAUAACAGGAACAAGCUAUCCGGAUACAGAUGUCACGCCCUGAUCUGUUUCACAUGUUCCUGUGAUUGUCUCCACCCCCUCCAGUUCUCCCGGUUCUGACUCUGGACUACUUUCCUGCCUGCCUGCCUGAUCAUCCUGCC